UUGGACCGUGAUAUUGGAAGCAGCCUGGGAACACUUCGCGCGCUCUUCCAGAAUUCUUUGCUCUGGCGCUCGGUUUUGGGCUGAUUUCGCUCGACCGCCCCAGAAGCGAAAAGGGCUCGCGCGGGACGAGGUGGAGAAGCGGCGGCACGCGGGGGCGCAGGUUGUUUAGCUGAGGCAGAUUCAAGGUUUGUUCAUCUAUAAUUUGUGUUAUCCUGUCAUAUGUGAUGUUUGUUUGCUGGUAGAAUAAGCAAAUAAAUUUGCCUUGCCAUAAUUUGUGCUAUCCUGUCAUAUGUGAUGUUUGCCUGCUAUCCUUUCAUAUGUGAUGUUUGCUUGCUAUCCUCAAAUGGUUCAGAUGUGGUGUGCCAAGUCAGGGUUUAUUAAUCUCUGUGAUGGAAUGAUACAUAAUUUUAGAAUGCUUGCUGCACCAUGUCUUGGGUUAUACUUGUGUGUCUAAAUAAUAUAUUAUUUUGGAAUGCUUGUUGCACCAUGGCUUUCUAUAUUUACUUGCGUAAUUGAAUGAGGCAUGCAUGGCUAAUUUCUGAAAUCUCUACUAUUAAAGGGGGAUCGAACAUCGUGAUGGUUCGACCUCCCCUCGUGGUUCGACACCUCGUUUGAUCCCCCCACCUCGUUGGACACGUAUCAUUGGGCCACCUCCUUCCCACGAUCCAUCCACGAGACCAUGAUCGCCUCUCGCGAGAACCGCAACGAUCUUUUUACAGCACCUCCCACACUUCCAACCCUCCGGUUUACAAGGGGAAAAACCAAAAAAGAAACAACCUUACCCACGCAUGCACGUUUCCUAUGCAAUCCAGAACUGCCGCUAGACCAGGCAAAAUCAACGCACCGGUAUGCACACAUCUAUACAUGCACGAUCUGCUAGGGCUUCUCCUUAUUUCCUAACGACCUGACCAUGCAUGUUCCUCCUUCCUGGUCAUGCUCGCCAUCGUGCCAGACGGGAGGCCGCCAUGUGCACCGUUUCAAUGGUGUUCCUCCUCGAGGAGCGCGUCACUAGCAUGACGCGGGCGGGGAAGUGGUGGACGCGCAGGGUUCACGCCUACGUUUGGGGUGGCCAUCGCGCUCUACCUCCUGGCCUCUGAACUCACCAGCAUCGGUCGCCGCGGCGGCGUUGUCUCUAUCGUCUUCAUCGAGAUGCUCCUGGUGGUCCUCUAUAAAGCCCCGAGCCCUGGGCAGGGUUGAUCGUCGAGGCGGAAGCGGCUGAGGCCCGGAGCCCCCUCGAAUUGCCACGACUCAUGGAGGAGCAGAAAACAAGCCGGCAGCGUGCCUGAGCUAGGGCAGUGGCGGCUGCAAUCCAGGUAGUUUUUUUCCUCAUCUCUUAUGCUCAUUCUCUCUUUGUGGUCUACAAGGGCGUGCUACGGCUGCGCGUACAGACAUGGCCAUCGCUCUAGCUACAUUCAUCCCGGUGCAGGACCGGUCGUCUCGGCAUCGCAGAAUCGCAGGCGAGGGCGCCGGUGACGGCUGCCAGGUGCUCGUGGGGCUACUGAAGGGCGCGGGCGAGGCACAUGGUUGAUGCUCGGGACAGCUGCGGAGCGGCGUGCGCGAGUGCAGGGCAGGCAGUAGCCAGGGCGGCGGGAGAGGACCUAGGACACGUUGUGUUCAUGUAAUCAUCUUGUUCGUCUCUCCCUUUUGUUCGUCCUGUGUGACUAUGUUUUCCUCUUAUAUCCUGUAGCUCUAACUAUGCUUUCCUCUUGCAUCCUGUAGCUUUAAGAACGACUUGUGCAGGUAAUUUAUUUCUGGUCACCAAAACAAGUUUGUUCUUACACUUUGACGUUAUGAUUUGUCAUUAUUCACUAA